UGCUGCCUCAUUGGAUUUUGUACAG
rnacentral:piRNA from 1 species